rnacentral:lncRNA from 10 species
CAUGCCCAGCCAGCUCCCUCUAGUUUUUUGAUGCUGAGGCCCACCCUGAUGCCCCGUCUGUUUGCCCAUCUUUUGUCAUUGGAGGGUUAAAUGAAAUGUGAGUGUCACCCGAACAUCUGGGUUCCUAUCUGUGCACCUCCUCCUGUCUUCAGGCUGCCUUUGAGGCAGCAGCCUCACUGGGGACUUUGACCGGCCCCACCCAUUCUUCACUGAACCUCCUGCUCCAGCCUCUGCCUCCUCCAUUUUGAUGUCUAGAAUCAGGGGAUCCAGGAUCAUCAACAAGGUCGUUUUCCCAGGUAUGGAAGGGUCUUUCUGCUUCUUUCUUGUCAUGCACAGCUGCUGAGGAAGGGGCUGGGAGAAAAGACAGCGAAAUGGGGAGGAAGAUUCCAUUCAAACCAAGAAACAAAGUGUUUGGUUUUUCUUACCCCUGAUGAAGAAGCUACCAACCUUUUCCAAGGAGGUCCUGGCCUCCUUCUCAGGUCUGACUGGGUGCCUGCUGUGCCUCUCAGGCCUCCCCUCUGAAGGGCACCAUUCCCUUGGGUGGGUACUACUGGUUUGCACCAUCUUCCAGUGGAGACAGCCUAAGAAGGGAGUCUGGAGCCUUGAACUUCAGUACCUUCCUUCACUGGCCUCACCCUGUGCAAAUCAUGCCACACACUGGAGCCUCCUUUUCCCUGUCUAUAAAAUAAAAAUGACCCUGCGCUAUCUCACUGGGCUGGCAAGAACACACUGUUGUUGCCUUGCAGACAGGUGUGCUGAGGCUGUAGAAAGUGCUUCUCAUUUGGUUGGGAGCUUGUGCAUAAAUGCGAGAGGGGCUGCACAUCUGACGGACUACAGAGGUGACUCAUGGCUGAACCGGAACAGGAUAUCGGGGAGAAGCCAGCAGAGCUUGUGCUUAAAGUCAGAAUUCAGAACCCCAAAGAAAAUGACUUCAUUGAAAUUGAACUGA